rnacentral:rRNA from 1 species
UCCGGAUCCGUNCGACAGAGUUUGAUCUGGCUCAGGACGAACGCUGGCGGCGUGCUUUACACAUGCAAGUCGAACGAUGAUGCCCAGCUUGCUGGGUUGAUUAGUGGCGAACGGGUGAGUAACACGUGAGUAACCUGCCCCUGACUUCGGGAUAAGCGCUGGAAACGGCGUCUAAUACCGGAUACGAGCUUUCACCGCAUGGUGGUUGUUGGAAAGUUUUUCGGUCAGGGAUGGGCUCGCGGCCUAUCAGCUUGUUGGUGGGGUGAUGGCCUACCAAGGCGACGACGGGUAGCCGGCCUGAGAGGGCGACCGGCCACACUGGGACUGAGACACGGCCCAGACUCCUACGGGAGGCAGCAGUGGGGAAUAUUGCACAAUGGGCGAAAGCCUGAUGCAGCGACGCCGCGUGANUGAUGAAGGCCUUAGGGUUGUAAAGCUCUUUUGUCCGGGACGAUAAUGACGGUACCGGAAGAAUAAGCCCCGGCUAACUUCGUGCCAGCAGCCGCGGUAAUAGGAAGGGGGCUAGCGUUGCUCGGAAUCNCUGGGCGUAAAGGGCGCGUAGGCGGCCGAUUAAGUCGGGGGUGAAAGCCUGUGGCUCAACCACAGAAUUGCCUUCGAUACUGGUUGGCUUGAGACCGGAAGAGGACAGCGGAACUGCGAGUGUAGAGGUGAAAUUCGUAGAUAUUCGCAAGAACACCAGUGGCGAAGGCGGCUGUCUGGUCCGGUUCUGACGCUGAGGCGCGAAAGCGUGGGGAGCAAACAGGAUUAGAUACCCUGGUAGUCCACNCCGUAAACGAUGAAUGCCAGCCGUUGGUCUGCUUGCAGGUCAGUGGCGCCGCUAACGCAUUAAGCAUUCCGCCUGGGGAGUACGGUCGCAAGAUUAAAACUCNAANGAAUUGAAACUUCNAANGGAAAUUNNACNGGGGGGNCCNNCCCCAAGGGGGNNGGAAGCAUNUGGGUUUAAAUUUCGAAAGCAANGNGGAANAANCUUACCNAGGUCUUGAACAUCCUCUGGACAANNUUUAGAGAUAGAGCGUUUCCCCUUCGGGGGGACAGAGUGACAGGUGGUGCAUGGUUGUCGUCAGCUCGUGUCGUGAGAUGUUGGGUUAAGUCCCGCAACGAGCGCAACCCUUGAUCUUAGUUGCCAGCAUUUAGUUGGGCACUCUAAGGUGACUGCCGGUGACAAACCGGAGGAAGGUGGGGAUGACGUCNCANUUCUCANGCCCCNCCUUANCNUNGGNNUCACCCGUGCUACAAUGGAUGGUACAAAGGGCUGCAAGACCGCGAGGUCAAGCCAAUCCCAGUAAAACCAUUCUCAGUUCGGAUUGUAGGCUGCAACUCGCCUACAUGAAGCUGGAAUCGCUANGGNAAGCGGAUCAGCNUGCCGCGG